CUUGAUCGACCCCAGCCACAGCGGCCGGUCGGCCGCCCGCCCCUGCCCGUAGGCGGCCAGCAGCGCCUGCGCCUC
rfam:Streptomyces bingchenggensis BCW-1, complete genome.